GUCCCCAUCGUCUAGCCUGGCUCAGGACAUCGGAUUUUCAUUCCGGUAACAGGGGUUCGAAUCCCCUUGGGGUCA
rnacentral:tRNA from 1 species